rnacentral:rRNA from 1 species
UACAGAGGUCCCAAGCGUUGUCCGGAUUUACUGGGCGUAAAGAGCGCGCAGGCGGCCGAGUAAGUCGAAUGUGAAAGCCCCCGGCUCAACUGGGGAAGGUCAUUCGAUACUGUUCGGCUUGAAGAUAGGAGAGGGAAGCGGAAUUUCAGGUGUAGUGGUGAAAUGCGUAGAUAUCUGAAGGAACACCAGUGGCGAAGGCGGCUUUCUGGCCUAUUCUUGACGCUGAGGCGCGAAAGCUAGGGGAGCGAACGGG